UACAGGAGGCUGAGGUGGGAGAAUCGCCUGAGCCCACAUUAGAAUGACUAUUAUUUAAGAAAAAGAGAGAGAGAGACAAUAUAACAAAUGUUGGUGAGGCUGUAGAGAAGUCGAAACUUUUACAUGGUGCUGGUGGAAAUGUCAAAUGGUGCAAUAAAAAAUGGAAAACAGCAUGGUGAUUCCUCAAAAAAAAAUUAAAAAUAGAAUUACCAUAUGAUCCAGCGAUUCCACUUCUGAGUAAACAUGCAAAAUAAUUGAAAGCAAGGUCUCAAGGAGAUAUCUGUACACCCGUGUUCAUAGUAGCAGAUUCACAAUAGCCAAAAAAUGGA
rnacentral:lncRNA from 1 species